CCUGGCGGCAACAGAGCGCUGGAUACCACCCGAUACCAUCCCGAACUCGGCAGUGAAACGGCGCAUCGCCGAUGGUAGUGCGGGGUCUCCCCGUGUGAGAGUAGGUCACUGUCAGGC
rnacentral:rRNA from 1 species